UGGUAGUGUAUUGGACAACCAUGGUUAUAACGGGUAACGGGGAAUAAGGGUUCGAUUCCGGAGAGGGAGCCUGAGAGAUGGCUACCACUUCCAAGGAAGGCAGCAGGCGCGCAAAUUACCCAAUCUCAGUACGAGGAGGUAGUGACGACAAAUAACGAUAUGGAUCCUUCGGGGUCCAUAAUCGGAAUGAGAACAAAGUAAAUAUCUUAACGAGGAACAACUGGAGGACAAGUCUGGUGCCAGCACCCGCGGUAAUUCCAGCUCCAGGAGCAUAUAUUAAAGUUGUUGCAGUCAAAACGCUCGUAGUCGGAAUCUGAGGAUUUUCUAGACGAGGGGCUUGUCGGAAGACGAGCUAUCCAGUCUUAGAUGCCUCGGACGUUUGGUGGAUUUCUCUACUCUUAAUUGAGUGCGGGAUUGAACCCAGACCUUCUACCUUGAAAAAAUUGGAGUGUUCAAAGCAGAUUCUUCUUUCGUCUUAUACAUAUUAGCAUGGGACAGUGAAAGAAGACCGUGUGGAGAGCUGAUAGUGUCUCUCUGCACGGUAAUGAUCGAUAGGGGCUAAGGGGGCGGUUGGUAUUCAGCGGCUAGAGGUGAAAUUCUUAGAUUCGUUGAAGACUUCCCGAAGCGAAAGCGUUCCGCUACUGUACCUCC
rnacentral:rRNA from 1 species